rnacentral:rRNA from 1 species
GACGAACGCUGGCGGCGUGCCUAACACAUGCAAGUCGAGCGAAUGAAGUUCCUUCGGGAACGGAUUUAGCGGCGGACGGGUGAGUAACACGUGGGCAACCUGCCUCAUAGAGGGGAAUAGCCUUCCGAAAGGGAGAUUAAUACCGCAUAAGAUUGUAGUACCGCAUGGUACAGCCAUUAAAGGAGCAAUCCGCUAUGAGAUGGGCCCGCGGCGCAUUAGCUAGUUGGUGAGGUAACGGCUCACCAAGGCGACGAUGCGUAGCCGACCUGAGAGGGUGAUCGGCCACAUUGGGACUGAGACACGGCCCAGACUCCUACGGGAGGCAGCAGUGGGGAAUAUUGCACAAUGGGGGAAACCCUGAUGCAGCAACGCCGCGUGAGUGAUGACGGCCUUCGGGUUGUAAAGCUCUGUCUUCAGGGACGAUAAUGACGGUACCUGAGGAGGAAGCCACGGCUAACUACGUGCCAGCCGCCGCUGUAAUAC